rnacentral:tRNA from 2 species
GCAUUGGUGGUUCAGUGGUAGAAUUCCUUCCUUGCAUGCAGGAGAUCCAGGUUCGAUUCCUGGCCAAUGGA